GGCGGGGGGCAACCCCCAGUCGAGCGGCGAACGGGUGAGUAACGCGUGGAUGACCUGCCCUUCAGCGGGGAAUAACCCGGGGAAACUCGGGCUAAUACCGCAUACGACCGAGAGGUGAAAGGGGGCCGCAAGGCUCCUACUGAAGGAGGGGUCCGCGUUCGAUUAGCUAGUUGGUAGGGUAAUGGCCUACCAAGGCGACGAUCGAUAGCCGGCCUGAGAGGGUGAUCGGCCACACUGGAACUGAGACACGGUCCAGACUCCUACGGGAGGCAGCAGUGGGGAAUUUUGCGCAAUGGGCUAACGCCUGACGCAGCAACGCCGCGUGGAGGAUGAAGGUCUUCGGAUCGUAAGCUCCUGUCAGCAGGGAAAAAGCGACCUGACCUAAUACGUCAGGGAGUUGAUUGUACCUGCAGAGGAAGCCCCGGCUAACUCUGUGCCAGCAGCCGCGGUAAUACAGAGGGGGCAAGCGUUAUUCGGAAUUAUUGGGCGUAAAGGGCGCGUAGGCGGCUUUGCAAGUGACGGGUGAAAGCCCUCGGCUUAACCGAGGAACUGCCUGUCAGACUGUGAGGCUUGAGACCGGGAGAGGUGAGUGGAAUUCCCAGUGUAGCGGUGAAAUGCGUAGAUAUUGGGAGGAACACCAGUGGCGAAGGCGGCUCACUGGACCGGAACUGACGCUGAGGCGCGAAAGCGUGGGGAGCAAACAGGAUUAGAUACCCUGGUAGUCCACGCCGUAAACGAUGAGUGCUUGGUGUAGCGGGUAUCGACCCCUGCUGUGCCGAAGUCAACACAUUAAGCAC
rnacentral:rRNA from 1 species